ensembl:lncRNA
AAGGAUUCAAAGCCCCCCCUGGGAUCUUUGAAUUGGACAAGGAGUGUGGAACUCUUGUCCAGAGGCCGGGAGUACUUAAUCAGUUUGGUGAUGAAGGAUGGAACUCCCCUUCAUCGUUCAAAGAGGUACCUGUCUGUCAUGGGGUUUGUCAUCAACAUUGACACCCUAAUGCUGAUGUGUCCUGAGCUGCUUCAGAGUCAGCAAUAUAUCUGCACCUACCGGUUCAGCCAGGAUCAUUUGGAGCUCCUUUUCAACUCCAUCAGGGCAUCAGGGGGCUGGAACAACAAUCCCUCCGCAGGCCAGUUCCAGGGCAUCUUCCGCCGGCUCAUGGUCCGAUGUGGUGUCACACCGAGCACUUCAGGGAAUGUGGCACCACAGGAUGAGACCGUGUCUCUGUCGGCUGUAGAGAUGUCCUCUCCCUCUGAAACGGAAGAGCUUGAGGUGCCCUUCGUGAAUGUGUCUGCGUUGAUUGGGGACCACAGCUACUUGCCAACCCGCUUUGGUGGCCUAGUGGAAAACGCACUGGUCUACAUUGCAGGGUUUGUGGUGCGGCAGGUUUUGAGAAAGCUGUCCUGUGGUGAGUGCCGUGCUAGCCUGGUGACAGAUGCUGCACGCGCAUCUUUCGACGAGAGCUACCACCUGCUGACUCUGAAGAACAAAGGAGGGCUGAUGAUUCCUUCAGAGGGGACAGUGAAGGUGGUCAGGUCAGCAG